AUACGUAGGUGGCAAGCGUUAUCCGGAUUUACUGGGCGUAAAGGGAGCGUAGGCGGAUAUUUUAAGUGGGAUGUGAAAUACCCGAGCUUAACUUGGGAGCUGCAUUCCAAACUGGAUAUCUAGAGUGCAGGAGAGGAGAAUGGAAUUCCUAGUGUAGCGGUGAAAUGCGUAGAGAUUAGGAAGAACACCAGUGGCGAAGGCGCUUCUCUGGACUGUAACUGACGCUGAGGCUCGAAAGCGUGGGGAGC
rnacentral:rRNA from 1 species